GUUAGAUGGAACCCACCACAAUGUCAGAAUGUCAGUCAGGCGUCAAGCUCUCGGUUCAUCGGACGAUAACGCAGAGCCUUCCACGAUACCCACGAUUUGUGUGGUGAAUUUGCUCAGAACGACAGGAGGCGCCCGUAGCACUCGAAGACCAAAGAUAAUAAUAAUAAUGCUCCGGCUGUCAUCUUGUGGUUCCUUUUCGACUUGUUUCGGAGGCGUUCGUACAUGUUAAGGUUCCGCCCGCUGAAAGAAAACACCUUGACCGUCACAACCUCGCAAAUCCUUUUGAGAAGAGUAUGCCGGGCUUCACACUACCAUUAUUUGUUUUCAUUCAUAGCCGUCACGCAACCGGAGAUUCUUGCGUGGCUCGUCCAGAAUCGGCUGAAGAUCGACUGCACUUUUCCGGUGAGAGUCCGUGGCUCAGGGGCAGGAAAACGUAUGAUGCCCUCGGGCGGCUGUUUUGUCGCCACUAUUUUGCGUCUGCACAACCUGUUGACACAGCAUACCACCGCUCUUACUCACCCGGAACGUUCUGUGAAAGUAUGCCGUCGCACAGGCAUUCAUACUGAAAAUGGUAUGCGGUCUCACUGUUCCUUCCAACGAAUGAGCGUCCUGUAUGUGGUACAUUUGAAUCUGUCUCAACCGUCAGAACGGGCAGAUGAAACGCGCAUACGCCUUUGUAUUCUUCUUCAACUGCAGAAUAGCUCGACGUUCCAGUGACUAUUCUGGGGGUUUUGGAACAACUCAGACCUCCGCAACGGAGGCGAGCCAACUGAGCAAAAUCCCGAGAUGUCGUUAUGCUUACAGCGCCGAAAGGUUGUUGAGGUGCC
rnacentral:lncRNA from 1 species